AUGUGUCUUAUCACAAAAGGUUUUGCCACGUCCUGUUGUUCCAAGGAGGCUCUAUUUGUAGGCUCAGCAGUCAGAGAAGUGGUUUCUGCCUGGCUUUUACCAGAGCUCCUCCUCCGAAGGCCGUGUCUCCACACAGCGACCUGUCAGCUCCCUGGCAAGCACCUGAAGACUCCCAUGCAACUUCCCUGUCCUGGCCUUACUGAGCAGGAUGAACAAACACUGAACCCAGCAGCAGAGCCUGCUCCUCCAGCAGAUCAAACCCCUGUGAGCGGGGAUUUCCAGUGGCCUCAGCAGGAUCAGCCCAUGGAAAAUGAAUUGUGCCUUGCUUGGACUGGGGCCCGCAGGGCAGUGCUGCUCCGGCCCUGAGAGGGAUCCAGCGCAGAGGGAAUCAGGACUGCUAAAUAAGGACAGAAAGUAGAAAGCUAAUUUGUUUCUAAAUGAUGGUGGUAGCACAGCACAGAACAGGUCUCUGCAAGCUCAGGGAGUUUCUGUUCAUUAGGUGACUUCCAAAGACAGCCUACCCGUAUUCAGAGUCAAGACUCAGCAAUCAAAUUAUUUUCUGUACAAACCUCUUGUUGAUUUGCCAGUUAUGCAACUGAAGUAUGAAAUGGCCUUGUUUCAGAGAAAGCCUCUUCCACCGCUUUGCGAGAGAGAAAGGAGGGACUGAAUCUGUGAGGAGCUGUUUUAUUGAAAUAUACAAAACAUAAUUUGGCAAACAUCCGUUUUUUCUCCUUAAAUAAGAUAAAAUUACUGGAUGAAAGGCAUUCCGUUAGUACAAACAAGCAAGCAAGCAGGCCUUUUGUAAGGCUGUGCACAGGUGAGGCAAAUAGAAGAUGCAGAUUUAUUUUACAGGUAAAAAGACUGAGAAGCGACGGUCUGUGAGAUACAGCAGGAGCAGCUCCAGUUAGCUGGGGAGUUAAAUGGGUGCCUUUGCAGAAGACACGAUUAGGCACAAGGUCCCGGUGUCGUUUCAGGCUGCUGUGUGUCACACGCUGAAGUAGAAGCUGAUGGAAGUUUCACCAGUAGAGCAGUUUCUUCCAGGUGCCUGUUUCACAUCUCGCACAAAAGUGAAAGAGCUGAGCAACAUCUAAAAGGAAACAGCUCCGAGUGAGGUGAGAGCUUACUCAGAACUCCUGUCUGUGAUACAUAAGGCCACACGCUGUUUUGGGCUAAUCCCUCAGGUCACCGUUGCAGAGCAGUGACGAACAUCCACAUCUAUGAAGUGUAAGGAAACAGCAUUUCAGUACUGCAGCUGUGACUCAGCGAGACACUCAGCUAAAGCUAAGCUCUUGUUUUUAAACACCAAUUUAUGUG
rnacentral:lncRNA from 1 species